CAGCUCCAAUAGCGUAUAUUAAAGUUGUUGCAGUUAAAAAGCUCGUAGUUGGAUCUAGGGACGCGCAUUUCAAGCGCCCGUGCCAUCGGGUCAAACCGGUGGCUGCGUUGGCGUUGCGGGCUCGGUCCGUCAGUGCCUACAAAGCAUUGGCGUGUCAACCGGCCCGCCCGUCCCCUCCUUCUGGAUUCCCGUUCCUGCUACUGAGUUAGUGGGGACGUCACAGGGGGUCCAUGCAAAUGGCGGCGGUGGGUCUCUGGGGCCCAGAUCGUUUACCGUGAAAAAAUUAGAGUGUUCAAAGCAGGCAGAUCCAAUUUUCUGCCACCGAAUACAUUAGCAUGGGAUAAUGGAAUAGGACCCUGUCCUCCUAUUUUCAGUUGGUUUUGGCAGCGCGAGGACUAGGGUAAUGAUUAAUAGGGAUAGUAGGGGGCAUUAAUAUUUAAUUGUCAGAGGUGAAAUUCUUGGACUUAUGAAAGAUUAACUU
rnacentral:rRNA from 1 species